UUCUCGGGGUUCCCUUUCAUUUUGCGGCCACAACACUUGCAGACAAACAGUCCUCUGAGUGCACGCACACACGCACGCGCACACACACACACACACACACGGUCUCUCUCACACACGCGCCUCGCAGGAAGUACAGGCGGGAGGAAAUGACUCGUGAGGCCUCCUCAUUCUGCUGCCCGAGUGCUGCCCUCCCCCUCCUGCUCACACACCGUCCCAGCGCCUGCUGCCAUGAGGGUCCAAGUCUCCGUAUUCUUGUUCCUGGUCCUGGACCCAGUCCUGGUUCUGAAUCAGCAAGCUCCCACAGAUAACUCCCUGAAGGCGACGCCUUUGCUGGCUAAGACAAUCCUUGAGGAUAAGCAGGGGGCAAUCGUCAUCCCGACGCCCGAAGUGGGGCAGGACUCUGGAGUCAUGACCCCAUCUGACCCCAACUUGGAUUUGACAGAUGGAGACCAAGAUGCAGAGGUGGAAAACACAUCUAGCACAGCCACCACAGGGUCUGGAGGCUCCAGUUCCAGCAGCACGAGCACAACUGUUUCAGCCACCACAGGGUCUGGAGGCUCCAGUUCCGGCAGCACGAGCACAACCGCUUCAGGCUCCAAGAGGCCUGUUACCCACAGAGAGCCCGGGAGCUCGGCCAGAUCAGGAGCCGGCCAAAGCCAAGAGGAAAUCUUCACUUACGAUUACCACUCCCUGCGCAAGUGGGGCCUGAUAGCCGCCGCCAUUCUCUUCGUCCUGGGCAUCCUCAUCCUCACCUGUGGUAAAUACGGGAAGCUCCCCGGAUGUGGGGGCCGGAAGCGGAGGAGCGCCUAUGACAUCUCACGGCUCUGAGGCACCCCCUGCUGGGGGAUCCGUUUGGGGAUCGGACACUGCUUGGAGGGGCCGGCUCGGAGCCCCACAGCGAUGCUGCAUACCUGGGGGCUGGGCAGAACCAGCAGCACAGACCCGAGGGCUGCCAAGUGUCCCCCGCUCCCCCCUCUGUGAUCUGCCUGUCAGCAGCACCCCAGCUCUGAUCACCCCGGCCUGGCCUCUCUAGCCCCCGGCUGACUCCCCAGCCUGUCCCCCAGGCCUGGAUCCUCCAUCCCUCUCCUUUCCCCCUCCCAGCCUUGUCCCCCCAUCCCUGUCCCCUCCCCCUUCCUGGCCUGGAUUCCCCAUCCUUGUCCCCCCCUUCAGGCCUUAUCCCCCCUAAAUCCGAGUCCCCAGCCUGCACCUGGCCUGUCUUCCCCAUCCCUGUCCACCCUCCCAGUCUCUGAGCGCCGGUCG
rnacentral:lncRNA from 1 species